rnacentral:rRNA from 1 species
GACGAACGCUGGCGGCGUGCUUAACACAUGCAAGUCGAACGCUGAACCCGCUUCGGUGGGGGAUGAGUGGCGAACGGGUGAGUAACACGUGGGCAACCUGCCCCCGGCUCUGGGGUAACUCCAAGAAAUUGGGGCUAAUACCGGAUGUGACCGCUGGCCGCAUGGUCUGGUGGUGGAAAGGGUUUCCGGCUGGGGAUGGGCCCGCGGCCUAUCAGCUUGUUGGUGGGGUAGUGGCCUACCAAGGCGACGACGGGUAGCCGGCCUGAGAGGGUGACCGGCCACACUGGGACUGAGACACGGCCCAGACUCCUACGGGAGGCAGCAGUGGGGAAUAUUGCGCAAUGGGCGGAAGCCUGACGCAGCGACGCCGCGUGGGGGAUGACGGCCUUCGGGUUGUAAACCUCUUUCAGCAGGGACGAAGCGCAAGUGACGGUACCUGCAGAAGAAGCACCGGCCAACUACGUG